GGCGACCGCUUUUGGAGUUCGAUUAAGCCAUGCGAGUAGAAAGAAAUUAGAUUCUUUGCGAACUGCUCAGUAACACGUGGAUAACCUGCCCUAUGCUCUGGAAUAACCUCGGGAAACUGAGAAUAAUACCGGAUAGAUCACAACGCCUGGAACGGUGUGUGGUUGAAAGAUUACGGCAUAGGAUGGGUCUGCGGCGUAUCAGAUUGUAGGGGGUGUAACGGACCUCCUAGCCAUCGACGCGUACGGGUGUUGGGAGACAUAGCCCGGAGAUGGAUUCUGAGACACGAAUCCAGACCCUACGGGGUGCAGCAGGCGCGAAAACUUCACACUGCAGGAAACUGUGAUGAGGGAACUCCAAGUGCGUGCACUUAGUGUGCGCUUUUCUUGACUAUUAAUCGGUCAUGGAAUAAGGGCUGGGAAAGACCGGUGCCAGCCGCCGCGGUAAUACCGGCAGCUCAAGUGGUCGUCGCUUUUAUUGGGCCUAAAACGUCCGUAGCCUGUUUGGUAAAUCUGUGGGUAAAUCAACCAGCUUAACUGGUUGAAUUCUGCAGAGACUGCCAGACUAGGGACCGGGAGAGGUGUGGGGUACUCUAGGGGUAGGGGUAAAAUCCUGUCAUCCUUAGAGGACCACCAGUUGCGAAGGCGCCACACUGGAACGGAUUCGACGGUCAGGGACGAAGCCUAGGGGCACGAACCGGAUUAGAUACCCGGGUAGUCCUAGGUGUAAACGCUGUGAACUUGGUGUCGGGGAUCCGUCAUGGGUCCCCGGUGCCGGAGUGAAGAUGUUAAGUUCACUGCCUGGGGAGUACGGUCGCAAGGCUGAAACUUAAAGGAAUUGGCGGGGGAGCACUGCAACGGGAGGAGCGUGCGGUUU
rnacentral:rRNA from 1 species